rnacentral:rRNA from 1 species
UACAGAGGUCUCAAGCGUUGUUCGGAAUCGCUGGGCGUAAAGCGUGCGUAGGCUGUUUCGUAAGUCGUGUGUGAAAGGCGCGGGCUCAACCCGCGGACGGCACAUGAUACUGCGAGACUAGAGUAAUGGAGGGGGAACCGGAAUUCUCGGUGUAGCAGUGAAAUGCGUAGAUAUCGAGAGGAACACUCGUGGCGAAGGCGGGUUCCUGGACAUUAACUGACGCUGAGGCACGAAGGCCAGGGGAGCGAAAGGG